rnacentral:rRNA from 1 species
GACGAACGCUGGCGGCGUGCUUAACACAUGCAAGUCGAACGGAAAGGCCCUGCUUUUGUGGGGUGCUCGAGUGGCGAACGGGUGAGUAACACGUGAGUAUCCUGCCCUUGACUUUGUGAUAACUUCAGGAGACUGGGGCGAAUACCGGAUAGGAGCUCCUGCUGCGUGUGGGGGGUUGGAAAGUGUCGGCGGUGGGGUAUGGACUCGCGGCUUAUCAGCUUGUUGGUGUGGUAGUGGCUUUCCAAGGCUUCGACGGGUAGGCGGCAUUGGAGGGUGGCCGGCCACAUUGGGACUACGAUACGGCCCAGACUCCUACGGGAGGCAGCAGUGGGGAAUAUUGCACAAUGGGGGGAAGCCUGAUGCAGCAACGCCGCGUGCGGGAUGACGGCCUUCGGGUUGUAAACCGCUUUCGCCUGUGACGAAGCGUGAGUGACGGUAAUGGGUAAAGAAGCACCGGCUAACUACGUG